rnacentral:misc_RNA from 1 species
GAUGAAGAACGCAGCGAAAUGCGAUACGUAAUGUGAAUUGCAAAUUCAGUGAAUCAUCGAGUCUUUGAACGCACAUUGCGCCCCCUGGUAUUCCGGGGGGCAUGCCUGUCCGAGCGUCAUUGCUGCCCUCAAGCACGGCUUGUGUGUUGGGCCCCGUCCUCCGAUCCCGGGUGACGGGCCCGAAAGGCAGCGGCGGCACCGCGUCCGGUCCUCGAGCGUAUGGGGCCUUGUCACCCGCUCUGUAGGCCCGGCCGGCGCUUGCCGAUCAACCCAAAUUUUUAUCCAGGUUGACCUCGGAUCAGGUAGGGAUACCCGCUGAACUUAAGCAUAUCAAUAAGCGGAGGA